GAUGAACGCUGGCGGCGUGCCUAAUACAUGCAAGUCGAGCGAACGGACGAGAAGCUUGCUUCUCUGAUGUUAGCGGCGGACGGGUGAGUAACACGUGGAUAACCUACCUAUAAGACUGGGAUAACUUCGGGAAACCGGAGCUAAUACCGGAUAAUAUUUUGAACCGCAUGGUUCAAAAGUGAAAGGCGGUCUUGCUGUCACUUAUAGAUGGAUCCGCGCUGCAUUAGCUAGUUGGUAAGGUAACGGCUUACCAAGGCAACGAUGCAUAGCCGACCUGAGAGGGUGAUCGGCCACACUGGAACUGAGACACGGUCCAGACUCCUAAGGGAGGCAGCAGUAGGGAAUCUUCCGCAAUGGGCGAAAGCCUGACGGAGCAACGCCGCGUGAGUGAUGAAGGUCUUCGGAUCGUAAAACUCUGUUAUUAGGGAAGAACAUAUGUGUAAGUAACUGUGCACAUCUUGACGGUACCUAAUCAGAAAGCCACGGCUAACUACGUG
rnacentral:rRNA from 1 species